CGACUUCACAAAGAGUUCGCUUCCGCACGUGCAGGACUCAGCAGCAAGGGCGUGGGACGCGCAGGCGCCGGGAGCCCACAGGGUGGAGACCGGAGCGAGCCCGCCCUUCUCCAGCCGCGCGGCCUUUCAUUCGCGCCCCCUAUCGGCAGGGCCAGCGGGGCCGCAGAAGCGUGGCUCGCAGGGCCCAGCCGCAUGCACCGAGCUGAGCGCGCGCUGGCCUGUGUGGAGCCCAGGCAAGAACGGAGUAAUUGAUACAGAAGAGGCUUUGCGUUUUCAGGAAUGCACUGUCCCCUUUCCAGGAGCUCUGCAAGGGAGCAGGAAUGCCAGAAAGUAGCCUGUGCAGAGGCAGGAGAAUGGGAGUCCGCCACAGACUGUCUCUUUCCCCCCCCGGCCAGAGUCUCAUCCAGCCCUGGGGAAGGAAGACACCUGGUGGCAAUCAUGCACCCCACCACCUGUCCAGAUCUUAGCUCGUGGCGUCACCCCUGAGGCUGGAACAGUCUCUGAAGAGGGACUGCACAGUUCCACGGGGAACUGUGGAGGAAAACACAGGCCUGGCCUGCCAGCAAGGGAGCAAAGGGGCAGGGGAGUCCCAGAAAACGCUCUGGUCAGUAGACGCUUGAAGAUAAAACUCCGCCAUAGAAGGGUCCUCCAUACAAACAGGUAGAGCAAAAUGGACCACAUCUGCAAUAAAACUAGGUAGCAAGUUUUAUCCACAAGCCUCAAGAUGAAAGCUAUUGGGGACAAAUUCCCUAUAGCUAAGUCCAUGUGGCACCAGCAUCUGGAAGGAGUAAGCCGAGGGAAGCAACACAAUAUCUUAUAGAUCUGAGAGCAGAAGACUCAAAGCACUCCUGGAUAAUUACUGGACAGUAGUGGGCUUAUUUGUAAACAGCAGAUGAAAUAGGGAAAACAUUUUUCAUUUCCGUUCACAUGUGAAUGCAAAGAGUUUAAAGAAGUGUUCACUCUUGGUGUGAUAUAUUCCAUGGGUUUUGACAAAGGUAUAGGCCUAUUCAGAUCAUGUAUUUGCAGAUGCACAUAAAUUCUAGAUGAAAUAGAUAAUUGUCAAGAAAAAUACAAUCUGCCAAAAUGUACCUUAGUCAAAGUCUAACAGACCAAUUAUGAUAGAAGAAAUAAAGAACAUAGUUGAAGCGCACCCUCACAAUGAAGGCAUCAAACUCAGAUGGAGUGACAGGAAUUCUACCAGUCAGAUAAAUUCCAAAACUACUUAUAAAGCUUGUGGGUAUGGAGAAAGAAGAAAAAAACCUUAUAGUUUUGUGAAGCAAGUAUUACAUCAAAACUAAAACUGACAAAUAAUUGUAGUAAAUAUAUGAUAUAAUCACUAUAUUAAUUGAAAUAUAUUACUUCAAAAAAAUUAGAUAAAAUAUUAGCAAGCAGAAUUUAACAGCACUUUAAAAAUAAUAUGUCAUUAUCAAGCUGAGUUUAUUCCAGGAAUGUAAAGGUUAUUCAAUAUUAGGUAAUUCAUUAAUACAAUCCAUCAUAUUUAUAGAGAUAAGAAGAAAAACAUUCCAAUCUCCAUAGAUACAUAAAAGUAUUUGAAAAAAAUCCUUAAAAAUGGAAAUAAAAUAUAAAUAUAUGGAUAUAUUCUUAACACGAAUACACACACAAGCAUGCAUUUGUGCAUGUACCAGCCCAAAAGUUGAAUUUUGCUUAAUGGGAAAACUAGAGACUGUGUCACUAAUGUGGGAUGCCAACCACCUCCAGUACUAUUGAAUAUUGUGUUACAGAUGCUAAUCAAAGCAAGUAGAUAAGAGAAAAAAACCAGAGGCACAAUAAUGGCAAAGCAAGAAGUAAUGCCAUUUUUCUUUGCAAGUAACAUGAUCAUAUAUCUGGAAGUUCCUCCUCAUCCAAAUCAAUGGAAAAACUGCAAAUAACAUGACAACUGAGUAAAAAUAUAUCUUAAGUCAAACAACUCAGAAACAGAAAGACAAAUACUGCAUGUUUUUACUUAUAAGUGAAACCUAAAUAAUGUAUACACAUAUACAGAGUAUAGACUGA
rnacentral:lncRNA from 1 species